UUCCGCAGGUGCCGCUGAAGUAAUAGUAGGCGGAGAAUAGGGAAGCGGGUGCAAAUCCCGCGCGAACUCGUCACCGUGAUCAGCAUAUGGCAUGAAUAAUAAGUCACUGGCGUUUGCCGGGAAGGCAUUCAUGCUGCUGUCAGCCGGGAGACCUGCCAGCCGA
rnacentral:ncRNA from 1 species